UACAGAGGGUGCGAGCGUUAAUCGGAAUUACUGGGCGUAAAGCGCACGUAGUCGGCUUUGCAAGUCGGGUGUGAAAUCCCCGGGCUCAACCUGGGAACUGCAUCCGAGACUGCAUUGCUAGAGUAUGGGAGAGGGAAGCGGAAUUUCUGGUGUAGCGGUGAAAUGCGUAGAUAUCUGGAGGAACACCGGUGGCGAAGGCGGCAUCCUGGACCGGCAUUGACGCUGAGGCGCGAAAGCUAGGGGAGCAAACGGG
rnacentral:rRNA from 1 species